CGGACGGGUGAGUAAUGUCUGGGAAACUGCCUGAUGGAGGGGGAUAACUACUGGAAACGGUAGCUAAUACCGCAUAACGUCGCAAGACCAAAGAGGGGGACCUUCGGGCCUCUUGCCAUCGGAUGUGCCCAGAUGGGAUUAGCUAGUAGGUGGGGUAACGGCUCACCUAGGCGACGAUCCCUAGCUGGUCUGAGAGGAUGACCAGCCACACUAGAACUGAGACACGGUCCAGACUCCUACGGGAGGCAGCAUG
rnacentral:rRNA from 1 species